UAGGGAAUCUUCGGCAAUGGACGAAAGUCUGACCGAGCAACGCCGCGCGAGUGAAGAAGGUUUUCGGAUCGUAAAACUCUGUUGUUAGAGAAGAACAAGGACGUUAGUAACUGAACGUCCCCUGACGGUAUCUAACCAGAAAGCCACGGCUAACUACGUGCCAGCAGCCGCGGUAAUACGUAGGUGGCAAGCGUUGUCCGGAUUUAUUGGGCGUAAAGCGAGCGCAGGCGGUUUCUUAAGUCUGAUGUGAAAGCCCCCGGCUCAACCGGGGAGGGUCAUUGGAAACUGGGAGGCUUGAGUGCAGAAGAGGAGGGUGGAAUUCCAUGUGUAGCGAUGAAAUGCGUAGAUAUAUGGAGGAACACCAGUGACGAAGGCGGCUCUCUGGUCUGUAACUGACGCUGAGGCUCGAAAGCGUGGGGAGCAAACAGG
rnacentral:rRNA from 1 species